GAUGAACGCUGGCGGCGUGCCUAAUACAUGCAAGUCGAGCGAACGGACGAGCAGCUUGCUUCCCUGAUGUUACCGGCGGACGGGUGAGUUACACGUGGGUAACCUAUCUCUAAGACUGAGAUAACUUCGGGAAACCGGAGCUAACACCGGCUCAUCUUUUGAACCCCAUGGUUCAUAAGAGCAAGACGGUCUUGAUGUCACUUAUAGAUGGUUCCUCGCUGCAUUAGCUAGUUGGUAAGGUAACGGCUUACCAAGGCAACGAUGCAUAGCCGACCUGAGAGGGUGAUCGGCCACACUGGGACUGAGACACGGUCCAGACUCCUACGGGAGGCAGCAGUAGGGAAUCUUCCGCAAUGGGCGAAAGCCUGACGGAGCAACGCCGCGUGAGUGAUGAAGGUCUUCGGAUCGUAAAGCUCUGUUAGUAGGGAAGAACAGAUGUGUAAGUAACUGUGCACAUCUUGACGGUACCUGAUCAGAAAGCCACGGCUAACUACGUG
rnacentral:rRNA from 1 species